UAGGAAAGUCAUAAAUAUAUAAAUUAUAUUAUAUAAUUAAUAUAAUAAUAAAAUAAAUUAUAUAUUUUAUUUAUAAUAUUAUUUCUUUAUAAGAUAAAUAUUAUCUAAUUAAUAAUUAGAUUGAAUAAUAUUUAUAAAGAAAUAUAUAUAUAUAUAUAAAGUCAUUAUAUAAAUUUAAUUAUAAUUUAAAUAAAUUUUAUAUAAAUUAAUAUAAUAUUAAUAAAGUAAUUAGUAUAAAUAAAUAAUAUGAAAAUAAAACUUAAUAAAUAUAUAAAUAUAGUCCAUAUAUAUAUAUUAAUAAAAAAAAAGUAAUAUAUAUAUAUAUAUUGGAAUAGUUAUAUUAUUAUACAGAAAUAUGCUUAA
rnacentral:misc_RNA from 1 species